rnacentral:rRNA from 1 species
UACGGAGGGUGCGAGCGUUGUCCGGAAUCAUUGGGCGUAAAGGGCGCGUAGGUGGCCCGGUCAGUCGAUGGUGAAAGCGCGGGGCUCAACUCCGCGUCGGCCGUCGAUACUGCGGGGCUGGAGCACUGUAGAGGCAGGCGGAAUUCCGGUUGUAGCGGUGGAAUGCGUAGAGAUCCGGAAGAACACCGGUGGCGAAGGCGGCCUGCUGGGCAGUAGCUGACACUGAGGCGCGACAGCGUGGGGAGCAAACAGG